CUGGAUAGGACAGAUGGAGUUGGAGCUUAACGACAUCUGGAAAGCUGCACCUUUCCCAGGCGCGCUUGAAUAAACUGAAUUGCUGCAGUUCUGCACUUGCAGAUGGUGAAACAGGUUCCAAGACCACUUAAUGCUUGCAAAGUUGGCAGCAAAUCAAAUUGAGUCAGCAUAUUGCCCCCAACAACAAUCCAGG